AUACGUAGGGGGCGAGCGUUGUCCGGAAUGAUUGGGCGUAAAGGGCGCGUAGGCGGCCCGGUAAGUCUGGAGUGAAAGUCCUGCUUUUAAGGUGGGAAUUGCUUUGGAUACUGUCGGGCUUGAGUGCAGGAGAGGUAAGUGGAAUUCCCAGUGUAGCGGUGAAAUGCGUAGAGAUUGGGAGGAACACCAGUGGCGAAGGCGACUUACUGGACUGUAACUGACGCUGAGGCGCGAAAGUGUGGGGAGCAAACAGGAUUAGAUACCCUGGUAGUCCACACUGUAAACGAUGAAUGCUAGGUGUAGGGGGUAUCGACCCCUUCUGUGCCGCAGUAAACACAAUAAGCAUUCCGCCUGGGGAGUACGGCCGCAAGGUUGAAACUCAAAGGAAUUGACGGGG
rnacentral:rRNA from 1 species